rnacentral:tRNA from 1 species
AGUUAAUGAUCUUGAACUUAAAGUUUAUGUUUUGAAAACAUAUUAAAGAAAUUAUAAUUUUCUAUUAACUU